UCUAGGAAGUGACUUGAUUGCCACUCUGAGGGUUGUUUGAAGCGAAGUGUGGAUAGUGUUUGCCCCAAAGCGGGGAUCCUCUGAGCUGUUCAGAUGGAAGCAGCAUUAGGGUGGAGAAGGGACAGGUGGGCUAAGAAGGUGGUGCCAGUGGCACACCUGACAACUUGUCUGUGCCCCCCCCCAUGCCACUCAAUGUGGCUUCAGGCCCACUCCUUCCAGUCCCAAGUGCUCUCAUCCCAGUGCUGUUGGCUUUCUGGCUGAGACUGCUCGUCAUUGGGGUCUGUUCCCCCCAUGGGGGCUCUAGACCCUUGGCUGCCCCCCACUCAGUUCCCCAGCCAGGCUGGUGACAGCCAGGUGCCCCACUCCCUGCUGCCAGCCUCAGGGGACAUCCUGCUCAUGGGACACAGAGCUAGUUCAGGGUCAGGACUCUGGUGCCUGACCUGGUCCCAGGCUUGAGCCUGUCCUUGAUUUGCUCUGUUUUUAGGGCCAUUUUCUGAAUCUUCCUUAUGUCAUCCACCUGGACCCACACAGGUUCCCUCAACCGAUGGAGGGAGCAUGGGUGCCCCUGGACUUCUGUGGAUCCCGCAUCUCGGCAUCGAGUGUGUCCUCACAGCCGAGGGAUCACUGAGCAGAGUCCAGGCGGUGGGGGCCCCAUCCUGUAGGGUCUCCGUGUCAGGCCUGCCCCUCACCCAUCUCAGGGCCAGACCUGGGCUCUGUUCCCAGGGCCCGGGCCACCGUGACGUCUGCAUAACACACUUCAAAGGGGCACAGGGCUGGGGAGGCCUGGCUGUUUCUUGGACAUCAAACAGCGCUUGCAAAAUAGUUAAUGACUUAUGAAUGAAUCAGAACCAGAUGGAUUCAGUUUCCCCCAGAAUGCAUCCUGAAGACCUCUUACACAUACCCACCCCCGAGAACACUCAGCCCUCCCCGGGGAUGCGGUCUUGGCCACAGGGGCUGGGGGCUGGGGAAGCCCGUGUGCUUUUAGCCCAUGAGACUCCCCAGCUCCUCAUUCCUUCCUUUCUCCUGGUUGCCACUCUUCCUAGAAGGAGAUCACCCAUCAGAGCCCUGUCACAGGGCUGAGUGACAUCAGACCAUGGGCUCUCUGGUUAGGCUGGGAGGCCGUGUAUAAGUUCAAGUCACUCUCCUGCCCAUCCGUCCUGGCGGUGGUCGGGUCUAAGUGUCACCUUGGGCCUCAUGCUCCACUGUCACCCUGGGCCUUGCCGCAGUCUUGCUUUUGGAGGAGGAGGUGUGUUGUUAUUGGACUUGCUUUCAUAGAAACAAUAAUCAGACACCUUAAAAAAUUGUAAGUAUUGCUUUGUGUGUCACUAUAGCUCAAUAGAAAACCCACGGAAAACAGACACCAGCAAUCCUCAGGAAAAAAACAAAUGGACAGUCAGAAGUGGUCUGUUUGGUGGUUGUAAUAAUUAGAAAUUCACUGGGAGAGACAGAGACAAAUAGAGAGAGACAGAGAAAGAGACAGAGACAGGGAGAGACAGAGACAGAGAUAGAGAGGGACAGAGACAGAGAGACAGAGAGAGACACAAAGAGAGAGGAACGGAGAGAGAGAGGGACAGAGAGGGGGAGAAAGACAGACAUAAAGAGACAGAGAGAGCGAGAAAGAGAGAGGGAGAGAGAGAGGGACAGAAGGAGACAGACAGGAGACAGACACAGACCGGGAAGUGAGUCCACGCUGCCCUGUGGUGUGGGUGUUUCGUAAGGUUUUUACUGGCUCCCACCACUGUGUACAUAGGGCCCUAUUAGCAGUUGCUUGGCCAAGAAUAAAGAAUCUCUAAUUCUGUUUUAGAAAUACAAUUUAAGGAGCUGGAGUUUAAAAUAACUGUCCUGAGCUUCGGAAAACUCAUCUCUGGAAACCAUCCAUGGAAGGAUGUUUGUAUCCCCAGAGGGUCUCAUGGGGCAAAAAGCAAGUCAGAUUUUUCUGCAUUUCAGGCAGCGGCUCCUGAAAGGUGCCUCAUGCAUCUCUUUCAGACAGUGACUGCCUUGCUUUUGCGAGAGCCAGGGCCCCUCCAGUGCCCUCAGUCACAUUCUCAACUGCAACCAGAAGGUUUAAAAUCCAGUACUUUGAGUGCUGUAUACCCUCCAUGUGUGUCUGAUUCUGCUUUGUGGAAGCAGCUUGUGUCAGAGAUGCAGCAAGUCCAGCUCCUAAUGCUUAGUGCAGGGGAGGAGACGGGGAGACCGAUAACGCUGCCUUGUCUGCAGGGCAGCCCUGCCUUUUACUUUCAGCCCUUUCUAAAAAUGGCACAUGCAAAGUAAGAAAACAAGUUUAUCUGUUGCUGGGAGGAACACAGGCGGGAGAGGAGUCUAGUCUCCAGCUUGGUGUGAUUUUAUUUUUAUCUUUCACUUUUGCAGCAGAACAUCAGGGGGCUAGUGCAAAGCCAGGUCGGCCUGGGCUUCAGGUAGCAUCAUCAGGGUCAUAGAGGUUGAUUUCACCUGGCCCGGGAUGGGGACCGUGUGAAGUUGGGGGUUGAGGAUGAGGAGACUCCUCCGUGGAGUCUCUUUAGAAAAGCCCAGUUGCAUGUGUCUUUGUAACUCAAGAAGACACCAACCCCCGACUGUCCUUCUCUUGAGGCGGUCAGUCAGUUCACAGGGCACUGGUCUGGGAUGUGGGCAGAUAAGCAGCCGGGCCUGCUCCAAGACCCCAGUUGUCCUGCAGCUUCUGCACUUGCCAUCCUGUCUCUGUGCUUCUUAUUUGCACAAGCUCAGGGUAGGGGGGUUGGAGGCAGGAACCAGCAUUUGGAUUCAUGGCUGGGCAAUCCAGAACAGUCGAAGAACCAGGAGAUAAUUUAUGUUUUGUUCUGGGUUACUUAUUUUUAUGGAGUGAUAGUGAGAGAAAUAAUGACUUUAGUUUCCUAAGUAUAAACUCCUUGCGCCGGUAUUAAAAUUCGCAGUUGUUUGCAUUUGCUGAGUGCAUAUCCGCUGUGGGGGAAGAGAACCCAAGGCAAAGUGUGGCAGGGGGUUGAGGGGGAGAAGCCAGGAAUUUAGGUGCUGCUGUGGCUUCUCUCAAAACAGAUUCUAACGACCACAGACUCUCCGAGUUACAUUAAUUGUACCUGAGAAAAAGUAGGCAGGUCGAUGUUUGAUGAAAUCCUGUUAUGAUUGCUUGCAAAGGAAGUUAUUGCCAACACAAUUCUGGAUUUUAACGGAUCUGAUCUGCUUAAAGCAUGAUGCACCCAUGCACACAGUAAGUCAGUGCUUGAGACGAGAGACCUGUUCAGAGAGUCAGACUUAGUUCUUGGAAUGCAGAACUUGGCAUUUUAGAGAGAGGAUGCUUUGUCCUGCUCAGACUUUACUGCUGUUGGCAUCUUGCCAUCACCUGGAGUGUGGUCUCCGCUGUUUCUGAUCAGCUGCCCUCCUUCCUCUGCAUGCUUAUUGCGCGCUCUGCAUCUGGGGUGAUGCUUAAGCGGAGGUUAGGAAGGUGAACAGUUAGGUGUGAUUUCUGCCUUUGUGGAGCCUAAAGGCUGGCGGGAGACACUGGCAGAGGACACAGAACUGCUGGGCACCAGGCCUUCUCUCCUCUGAUGCUCUGAUGACAGGACCAACCUGGAAGACCCUGGAGCUGGUUCUGUCACCUGGCCCUUGGAGGUGUUUGCAAUUUCCCCAUGUUUUGUAUUGUUAGGGCACCUUACUUUUUGGAAUGAGCAUCACGAUGGCUCUGCUGGUAUCACAGUCGUAAAAGGAACCAUAAACCACCCAGUGCUGCCUCCCACGGCCACACUCUUGGGGCUGGGGCCUCUUUAGGCAUUUUCCAAGAGGAACGGUCCAUGGGGCCCCUGCUACCUCCUGUUCUCAGAGAGCCAAGGAGUGGGGUGAGUUCCAGCUGCCUGGACAGCCCCUGCUUCAGGGUGGAGGUAAGGUCGACCCUGGAAGUCAGUGCCUGGAGCCAAGGGGGCACCCCUACCCAGGCUCUGCGAGGCCGCCUCUCGGGGCUGCUGGCUCUCUGCCUUUGGGCUGUAGCCGUCACCCCUGCCUGGUGUCCUGUCAGCGCGGCUCUAGGAGCAGCUGUGGGGGCUGCCUGGGAAGGAGGCGGCGAGCUUGCUGCUGGUUACACAUGGACAUGGAGACAUAGCGGCUUUAUUUUUAGGCUUCGCUAAUUCUCGCUCUCCUCCUAGUUCUCAGCUCCCUGGCAACAGCUUGUUGUCAUGGCAACGCCCAUGUUAAUGAGUGAGGCUCUCGGUGUGUCUGUUCCACCCCGGCCAGGACAGUGGUUCUGCCUGGAGCCCAGGAGAGGAUGGAGGGUUUAUAGUUUUGCUUACAUGGCCCUGAUGCCAUCUCGGUUUGCAGGCCUCUCCUCCAGCCGGGCCCACAUGGUCUGCCUGGGGAUGCAGCUGGUCAUCAGGGCCUGGUCCUGAAUUCUCAAGGGAGGACACUUCCAACAAGUCCUGGGCGGCUCCUUCCACCCUGGACAUGGGCAGGGACCACUUCUUCGGUGCCUCCUCCCAGUCCCUGCUGCCUUGAAGGACUGGAUUAUAAUUCCCUUGAGGACGGAAGAGGCCUCGAAGUGCUUCCUACCUGCUUCCUCAUAUCAGCAUUCCUUCCAAGAAAGGCCCAGGCUCUUAAUGCACAAUUAGAGAUAAAAGGCUGAAACCGGAGGAGGUGAUGCUUGGAGUGGGCGUUUCUCAGUUGAAAUAUAAUCAGUCCAACAACUAGGAUAAUUGACUGGUUAUCAAACCAUUUUUGCUUUUGAUGGUAGGAAAGGAGAGAAGUUAUUUGCAAGGCAGAGAUUUUGUAAAUAAAGAGAAGAGCCACCACUCCAGGAAAGUUUAGAGCAGUGAUUCUCCCUCCUGCAAAAUUAUCUCGGGAGGGGCGUUCAAAACAUAUCCACUUCCUCUGCCUCAGCCCAGGGAUUGGAAUUCAGUGGGGCCCAACACCCCAAGAUGAUUGCCGUACUGGUUGAACCACUACAACCCAGUUGCAGUCAGAUUAAACCACUGAAAGAUGGAGGCAGACUUGCAGACCCCAGCAUGGAGUUCACUGUUUCUCAGGCCUGGACCAAUGGAAGACAUGUCCUAACUUUAACCUGCAGUGCUACGUUCUGAAAUAUACAUCAGGAAUUGAGAAGUUUAGGUG
rnacentral:lncRNA from 1 species